rnacentral:rRNA from 1 species
AACGAACGCUGGCGGCGUGGAUAAGACAUGCAAGUCGAACGGGAACUUCAGCUGUAGCAAUACAGUUGAAGUUUUAGUGGCGAACGGGUGCGUAACACGUGGGCAAUCUGCCGAGAAGUGGGGGAUAGCUCGCCGAAAGGCGAAUUAAUACCGCAUAUGAUCAGCUAAGACAUCUUAGCGACAUCAAAGCCGGGGCAACCUGGCGCUUUUUGAGGAGCCCGCGGCCUAUCAGCUAGUUGGUGAGGUAACGGCUCACCAAGGCUAUGACGGGUAGCUGGUCUGAGAGGACGACCAGUCACACUGGAACUGAGACACGGUCCAGACACCUACGGGUGGCAGCAGUCGAGUAAUUUUUCUCAAUGGGGCAACCCUGAAGAGCGACGCCGCGUGGAGGA